AGUUUGCUGCUGCGCUUCCCCGAAUGGAUAAUCAAAUGGAAAUUAUGCAUAAUUGAAUUGCAUAACUCCACCAGAGCACACUAUGCGACUGGCUCUAAUUAUAGCGAUUAUCUGGCCGGACUUUAAGGACACAUAAAUUCAAGUGUUUACCACUGGCAUUUGAUGGGCAUUUGCACUUCCGGGAAUCGGAACCUCGAAACGUCGGAGCCUCGGAACCUGCCUUGCCGCAAAGGCUUCCGGGAAGCGCAUCCAAUCAAAAUCUUUGGAGCUAUGCCACCAAAGGCGGAGGUCAAGGAUUGUGUUUUCUUUACUGAACAGCCAUUUGGAGGGUAAUCGGAUUAAAUUACCCAUAAAAAUAAUUGCUAGAACCGGCAUUCGUCGGUCUGAGAUAAACAAAGUGAAGUGAUAAGAUUACGUAGGCGGAAGAAAAUGUCCGCUCGCCGUCGUUACCGCCACCGCCAGUGAAUCUGCGGUAGCUCCUCGUCCACUAUGGAGGCCCAAAGGAUCUGCACCUAGCUGGACUGUGACAGCCACUGGCUGUCCAGCUGCAAGCCAUAGCCAUGAUAUCGCUGCUGUGUCGCUGAGUCGACAAUGUGGCGUCCCGUCCACUGCAGCAGGGACCAGUGACCAGUUCACGCCCACAGGAAAUAAUAUCAGCAACCCCUUUUUCAUUUACCGCUGAAUCAAACGCUGGGAUUUAGCAUCGAGACGCAGGACUUAUGUACCCAACGCUUUGCCACAAGCCUGAUACGACUAUCCGAUUGCGCCCCACCAGACGGAGACCUAUCCAAGCAUUACCGAGGCGUAUUCGAGACAGACUGAGUCCUAUUCCAGACAGAGAGAAUCUUAUCCCAGCAAGACAGAAGCACACCCCUUGCAAGAUCCGAAGCAAUCCAUCGUCAUCCUUCGACCUGGCCAUCGAAAACAAGGACUUAGACUAUGGCAACCAAGGGAGGAGCUAUGCGGGCUACUAGACUCUAGAUAGAUCUUGUUGUUGUUAAGAUUAAGGAUAUGGAAUUCCAUUCAUUUAGAUAGUAGAUACAAAUUGUUUCCGCUUGUUCAUUUAUUUAUACUAAGCUAAGUUUUGAUGAAUAAAACUAUUG